rnacentral:tRNA from 1 species
GGGAAGGUAGCUCAGCGGUAGAGUGCUUGCCUUACAAGCAUGAGGCCCUGGG